AUGAACGCUGGCGGCGUGCCUAAUACAUGCAAGUCGAGCGAACAGACGAGGAGCUAGCUCCUCUGACGUUAGCGGCGGACGGGUGAGUAACACGUGGAUAACCUACCUAUAAGACUGGGAUAACUUCGGGAAACCGGAGCUAAUACCGGAUAAUAUAUUGAACCGCAUGGUUCAAUAGUGAAAGACGGUUUUGCUGUCACUUAUAGAUGGAUCCGCGCCGCAUUAGCUAGUUGGUAAGGUAACGGCUUACCAAGGCAACGAUGCGUAGCCGACCUGAGAGGGUGAUCGGCCACACUGGAACUGAGACACGGUCCAGACUCCUACGGGAGGCAGCAGUAGGGAAUCUUCCGCAAUGGGCGAAAGCUUGACGGAGCAACGCCGCGUGAGUGAUGAAGGUCUUCGGAUCGUAAAACUCUGUUAUUAGGGAAGAACAAAUGUGUAAGUAACUAUGCACGUCUUGACGGUACCUAAUCAGAAAGCCACGGCUAACUACGUG
rnacentral:rRNA from 1 species